UACAGAGGUCCCAAGCGUUGUUCGGAUUCAUUGGGCGUAAAGGGUGCGUAGGCGGCGCGGUAAGUCGGGUGUGAAAUCUCGGGGCUUAACUCCGAAACUGCAUUCGAUACUGCCGUGCUUGAGGACUGGAGAGGAGACUGGAAUUUACGGUGUAGCGGUGAAAUGCGUAGAUAUCGUAGGGAAGACCAGUGGCGAAGGCGGGUCUCUGGACAGUUCCUGACGCUGAGGCACGAAGGCCGGGGGAGCAAACGGG
rnacentral:rRNA from 1 species